CUCAUCCUAGCAAGCUUGGAACACAACUCAAGCUUAUGUUGAGGAAUCACCUUUGUUAGCAUAUUCACUACAUUCUUGUUGGCGUGAAUCUUCUGCAGCUAGGAUAGCUUAUUCUCAAGUGCAUCAUGAAUCCAAUAAUAUCUGACAUCUAUGUGCUUUUACUUCUGUUGUGGAUUAAGUGUGGUUAUUAAGGAAAUAGCUUGAAAUUGAAGGGAAAACGCUUAAUUCUUGAAGAAACGGUGUUAAACGGGCUAAGGAAUGGAAAUUGGGCAAAAUUGGGGGUCAAAUUGGUGAUUUGGUGAAAAAUUGGAAUUAGAGACGCAACUCUAUGGUGUAGAGCUGCAGCCCUAAGAGUUACAUAGAAGAACAAAAGAAUCAGCGAGACUUAGGGCCUAGGCGCUAGGGAGACAGAGUUAAGGCUCCAUUAAAAUGGAAAUUAGAGUUGCAGCGCUACCAGAUAGAGUUGCGACGCUACAUAAUCCAGAGACAAGUUCUGGAACUCGAAGCAACCCAGAGUUGCAAUGCUACUAGAUGGAGUCGCGACACCAGUCCGUACUGAAGCUGAAUGUAAUGCCCCGACUAAUUCUAGACCUCGGACCAUUAAAAACUACUAAACAUAACUACUAUUUUGGAAUACAUACAUACAUAAAAUAUUUGAACUUUAUUAAAAAUCCAAAAUACGGUACGAAAUACAAAAUAGGGUAUGGGUACCCAUUGUUUAGUACAUAAAACAUAAAAACAUAAACUUUAAUUAAUUGUUUAAAUACUAAGUGCGGAAAUACAAAAAACAUAAAUUAAAAGACUUGAAAACAA